AUACGUAGGGGGCAAGCGUUGUCCGGAAUUAUUGGGCGUAAAGCGCGCGCAGGCGGCGGCUUAAGUUUGGUGUAACAGCCCGGGGCUCAACUCCGGGAAGCACUGAAAACUGGGCGGCUAGAGUGCAGGAGAGGAAAGUGGAAUUCCACGUGUAGCGGUGAAAUGCGUAGAGAUGUGGAGGAACACCAGUGGCGAAGGCGGCUUUCUGGCCUGUAACUGACGCUGAGGCGCGAAAGCGUGGGUAGCGAACAGGAUUAGAUACCCUGGUAGUCCACGCCGUAAACGAUGAAUGCUAGGUGUUAGGGGUUUCGAUACCCUUGGUGCCGAAGUUAACACAGUAAGCAUUCCGCCUGGGGAGUACGGUCGCAAGACUGAA
rnacentral:rRNA from 1 species